rnacentral:rRNA from 2 species
AAAUUGAAGAGUUUGAUCAUGGCUCAGAUUGAACGCUGGCGGCAGGCCUAACACAUGCAAGUCGAACGGUAACAGGAAGCGCUUGCUGCUUCGCUGACGAGUGGCGGACGGGUGAGUAAUGUCUGGGAAACUGCCUGAUGGAGGGGGAUAACUACUGGAAACGGUAGCUAAUACCGCAUAACGUCGCAAGACCAAAGAGGGGGACCUUCGGGCCUCUUGCCAUCGGAUGUGCCCAGAUGGGAUUAGCUUGUUGGUGGGGUAA